GACGAACGCUGGCGGCGUGCUUAACACAUGCAAGUCGAACGGAAAGGCCCUGCUUGCAGGGUACUCGAGUGGCGAACGGGUGAGUAACACGUGGGUGAUCUGCCCUGCACUUCGGGAUAAGCCUGGGAAACUGGGUCUAAUACCGGAUAGGAGCCAUUUUUAGUGUGAUUGUUGGAAAGUUUUUUUCGGUGUAGGAUGAGCUCGCGGCCUAUCAGCUUGUUGGUGGGGUAAUGGCCUACCAAGGCGGCGACGGGUAGCCGGCCUGAGAGGGUGGACGGCCACAGUGGGACUGAGAGACGGCCCAGACUCCGACGGGAGGCAGCAGGGGGGAAGAGUGCACAAUGAGCGCAAGCCUGAUGCUGCGACGCCGCGUGGGGGAUGACGGCCUUAGGGUUGUAAACUCCUUUCGCUAGGGACGAAGCUUUUUGUGACGGUACCUAGAGAAGAAGCACCGGCUAACUACGUG
rnacentral:rRNA from 1 species